CUGUAUAUCAAUAACACGUGCUGUUCCAUUAUAGAUUGUCUAUCAUAAGUCAAGCUGGUGAAUUUUCUGUCGUCUAGUGGUACUUAUAAUAAUGUACUACCGUUAAAAAGGCACCUACGAUCGCACCGACUGUAACGAUUGACACCGCGAUCGGUCCUGCCACAUUUAAAUGUUCAACGUCUGGUCUUAUUACAAAAAUAGCCACGCAUAAUAAGGCCUGUUUUAUACGUGGAAUUUCGGUUCUGGCGGUUCUUCUGGUGAUUCUUCUGGCGGUUCUUCUGGUGAUUCUCCUGGCGGUUCUUCUGGUGAUUCUCCUGGCGGUUCUUCUGGUGAUUCUCCUGGCGGUUCUUCUGGUGAUUCUUCUGGCGGUUCUUCUGGUGAUUCUCCUGGCGGUUCUUCUGGUGAUUCUUCUGGUGAUUCUUCUGGUGAUUCUCCUGGCGGUUCUUCUGGUGAUUCUCCUGGCGGUUCUUCUGGUGAUUCUUCUGGCGGUUCUUCUGGUG